AGAAAACGGAGCCGACCGUGGUCUGGACAGCACAGCUCGCCUACUCCUUUCCCAGCAUCGCCGUCUCCCAUCACUCUCCACUCCACUGCCAAGGAACCAAAGCUGAGAGCUCCAUCUCGUCCUCCUCGCCUUCCUCUCCAUCGUCGGCCACCGGGAAGGACGCGUUGCCGUUCGUCGUUGAGCUGUGCUCGCCGUCAUAUCUUCCACGUUCCUUAUUCAAUCAUCAUACCGAAGGUUUUACCUUUUGACCUCACCCUCUCUCGUGCAGCGGAUCAUUGGGAACGCCAUCAUGCCCACGGGAGCUCCAGAGCGCGCCCGGAGCGCCGCCGCCACGACCUCGUAGCUGCCCCGGCUGCUGUGGAGCGAAUCCGGCCGAGCCGUCGCGCCAACAUCUUCCCCUCGAGGUCCUCUCCAAAUGCCCUCAAGAAUCCCCAAGAUCUGAGCACCGAGGAGAGAGAUCAAGCUAUUCUUCUCCAAGUCAAGCCGCUGAGCUCCAUCAUUGGUUCCUCUUUCUCCGUUCUUGUAGUGAGUCAAGCCGAUGCCGUUCAUCCGAGAAGGAGCGCCGUCGCCGAGCCGUUCCUAACGCCGUCGUCGACGACCAAGCUUCGCCAACCUCGUCCAAUACUACUCUGAGCACCCUGGAGCUUCUAGAGUUGCAUGCAUGCAUUUUAUCCACCUAGAUCCGGCCCCUAACGUGACAUGCAUCACUACCUCGAGACCCACCGCCACUCGUGCCGCCGUCGCCAUUGAUUCCGGUAACCACAGAUCACGAUAAGACCACCAUUGGCUUCGCAAAGAACCCCUCUUCCUUUUCUCUUUUGGUUUCAUGCCGAGAUCUGCCACCGUUCGCCGCCAGCAAGCUCGAGAACGAGCUCAGCCAUGGCUAGCUCUGUUUCAGCUCGAACCAGGGACCUCUGUGGAGAAGAAACAAAACUGUAUGUACUACCUUGUAAAAACUACCACACUCAUGGAACAGUCACAGGACUGCGGAUUGAUUACCUAAAAACCCAGGGACGUUUUGCAUAUUGGUCUAUCACUGACAGGUGGACCCCAUGAGCUUAAAAAUCUGAAAAUCUAAAGAAAACCCUCUAGAGCUUUAUAUUUUUAACAGAAAAACAUGCAAACUUGUAAAAUUCAUAUAAAAUCAAAUAUAGCUCAUUUUGAGAUGAUUCAAGUUUCUGUGAACUCAUAGAAGGAUGAACUUUAAUAUGGAAACAUAAAACUUGGCACUUGCAGUAUAAAUUUCACCUCUAAAAUUUAUCUAAGAAAAACUAUACAUAAAGCAUGCACAAAUUUACAAAAUACAUAGAGAAUUCAUUUCAACUUAAAUUGAAGCAAACCCAACUUCUACAGAUUCGUCAACUUAUUCUCUAAGGUAAAAUAAAAUAAAAAUAUGCACUUGCUUUACACCAAAUACCUCUAAAUGCAUGUUCUACAAAAUAACUAGUUUUAGAUAAGCUGAAAUUUAAAAAUUUAUAUAAAAUUCAUCUUACUUCCUUUUUGAGUAAACUCAAGUUCUGUAGAAUCAUCAAGAUUAGCACUUCUAAUAUUUAAAAUAAAAUUAUAUACUUACAGUGCAAUAAAAGCCCCUAAAUAUUUAUAUAAGGAAUAAACAACAUAUAUCACCCUUCAACUUGUAAAAUUUGUAGAGAAUUCAUCUCUAGUCCAAAUGGAAUGAACCAAAUUUCUAUAGAACCAGCAACUAAUUAAAUUCAAUUAGGUAAAAUAAAAUGUCUUCAAUACUAAAUAUAUCACUAAACUUUAAGUAGAUAACUUAAGUGCUAAUCACAUGCUAUUGGUUAGGCAAUACAUAUAUAUAAAUGUAUAAAUGCACUCUAGCUCUAAGUAACCAAAAUAAAACUUGAUGGACCAGAGAGGUCAUAGUUUCAUCCCUAACCACCAAAAACUUAGCACACUUAGCUCAUAUAUCAAUUUCUUGGUUGGUAUGUUAAAUAACUAACAUAGAACACUCCCCUAGCUUAUAAAAUGUGCAGUAGAGUAAUAUAAUCUCUAAAAUUAUGAACUAAGAUUAUAUUGGUUAACAAAAUUAGUCAUUUUAUACAUAUCAAAUAAGAUGGAACAUGUUCUGGACAUAAAACUCCAAAACCAUGUACACAUAGAAGCUAUAUACCUACAACACGUUACAACUUGUAAAAUACAUAAGAAAUUCAUAAUAACUCUAAAAGUUGUGAAGCCAAAUGUGUUAAUCGUAGAAAACAUAUCUCUACACCCCUGAGAAGUCGAACCUAAUAAAAAUCACUUUGCAAAAAUAUUUCAUAACACUACCUAAGUAAAUACCACUCUAUACCGAGUAAACUUCUAAAAUUCACAACUCACAAAUAAAAAGAGAUAAAAUAUAAAUUCUUUCACCUAAAUUCAUCUUAGACCAGUACCUACCCACUGUGCACAAAUCAUGCAUUUUAGAACAUUUUGAAUUUUUUACCUAUUCUGGUAUUUAAUUGCAUAACUUGUUCUUUAUAUAGAUAAUUGCAUAAGCGGUGAAGAAGUGAAUUAGGUGCUAACAUUUCCCAGGAACAAGGCAAGUUUUCUCGUCCCAAUCUUUGAUCACAUUGAAUCCCAUGUUUUGAGGAAUGAAAAUAUUUGUUUGCAAAGUUGCAUAUGAAUUUAGACUAUAACGGUAUUUGAAACUUGGUUAUGGUAGCUAUGACCUAAUUGCUGCAUUUACUUCUUUGAAUAAUUGUGAUCCUCACUGAUUGUAACCUUAGAAAUGGUUAGGGUACUUUCAAAGUGCUCAAUUGGGUUUAUACAUACUUACAUAAAAGCCCUACGCGUAGCCAUGCCUAGUAGUUGCUAAAUAACUUCAUGAUCACUUUUUAAAUGAGAAUUUGGGAAGUAUUUUCACUGCUGGACAGAGGUGAAUAUCUCUGAUAUUUGUGAAUUAAAAUGUGUAAAAGUGUGAUUUUAGACCUGGACGGCAAGUGGUAUGCAUAUGGUGUUAGUUGCAUACCGAUAGGGGGAGUGCUCGCCCUAGUCAAUUAAGGACCGAACUUUGUGUCACCAUCUAAGUAUACCGUGCAACCACAUGUGCUAGGAAUGGGAUGGCCUUAGCUUAUUAAGUUGUUUAAUGUCUAACCUUGCAUUGGGAAACCGUAGUAGUAUGAAUUACUCGAAAUGAUGGUUUAUAGGAGCUACCUAGUGCGGUUGUGCCUAGAUGUCUAAGCGUGUGCAAUAUAACGGUUAAGUGCCUUGUGGAGGAACGGAUGUGUUCACUGCCACGGCGCUAGGGAUGGCGAGGGCCCCCCGACCUAGCGGCACUUGGGUUGCUCCUCAUGUGGAUAAACACUUGCCGUGCUCGUGCAAGGUUAGGCAUUAGGCAAUGUAAAGGCUUCGUUAUGACCUCUAGACCACAUUCAACGUGAAGAAUGUGGUAGAGUCUUGCAAACUCGAAACAAACUAGAGUGUUCAUAUCAUGUGGGUAAAGUGUACAAACUCUGCAGAGUAAAAACUAAUCGAUUAGCCAUGCUCACGGUCAUGAGCGCUUUGGUGAUGUGUCAUGAGUAUAGUCUUGUGUCGUAAACUGUGUUUAUGAAACUAGGGAUUGAAAUGGAAGAAUUGUGUUGAGUUGUGUGAGUGAUGAUGAUUAUAAGAGUUGUGUCAUGGAAGACAACAAGAGUAUGCUUAUGAUGAUAUGAUGUUAUCUAUGAUGAUAUGAUGAACUUACAAAUUUGUUUUGUUGAUUGAAUCAACUCCUUUACAAAAGAUUUGUGAACCAAAACUUGCUUUAUGCUGAAAUUAAACUACAUAUUGCCCUCCUUUGAAUAUAUGCCUUACAUGUAGUAUGUUAGGAUUGAUUUUUGGCUUCCCAGUACAUUAAUGUACUAACUCUUGCUACUGGAAUAACCUUUUGCUUGCAGGUUAGACUUAGUCUUUUGAGAGAUGCGGGUUUCAGGUUUCGAUUGCUCUUUCUAGGACUUGAACUUAAUGGGGUAAACCCCUAGUCGGUGUGCUUGUGGUUGGGUAGUCAAGCUUCCGCUGUUCUCUGUUAUCUAUCUAUAUUUGGCCGGUCGGCCUAUGUAACUAUAAAGUAGUUGUAAAUUUGAAUCGCUUUCGUCUUAUUUGUAUUUGCUAUGCAUAACCAUGCUUAAGAUGAAAGUGUGAAUCUAGU